CUUAAUUAUUGAGAUUUUUUUUAAGUUAUUCAAGUGAGGUUUUAUAUUAUUAAAUUAUGAAAGAAAAUGUUGAAUUAUUUUGUGAGUUAGUUAAAAUGUAGAAUUUUAAACCCACACAUACUAGUAACAUUUUAUUACUUACUUUUACUAAACCUAAUAAGAUAUAUAUAUAUAUAUAUAUAUUGGCUUAUAAGGGAAGAAAGCCCAUUUUUCUUCUUCCCCUGGCAGACGUCCAACCCCUUCCCCAUCAAACCUCCAUUCUUUUUAUUUGCAAGCUCAAAUCUUAGCCUCUAAAAUCUCAAAUAUCAUUCAUAGAUCACAGAUUGAGGUUCGAGUGGCUUUAUAAAGUAAACAAGCAAGGAUCUCUACUUCAUUAAGCAUACCAGGUUGAGCAAUGGCUGAUGAAGAUGAAGUGAUGAGCGGAGCUUUUGUCAUAAGUUUAAUAAAUGGACUCUUGGAUACAUGUCUCCAUACAUGUAAUCAGAUUAUGUUAUUCCGCUGCAUACUCUCAAGUAAUAUGUCUUUAAGCUAAGUCGGGUUCAUCCGAACUUACGAGUUAAUCGAGUCCUUGCGACUAAACAACAGUUAUCUUAUGAUUGUCCCUCCUUAACAAUGAUUUGAUUUCGAGCCUUCA